UGCACGGUGGCUUAGUGGUUAGCACGUUCGCCUCACACCUCUAGGGUCUGGGGUUCGAUACCCGCCGGGGCCC